AGUCGAACGAUGAACCUCACUUGUGGGGGGAUUAGUGGCGAACGGGUGAGUAACACGUGAGUAACCUGCCCUUAACUCUGGGAUAAGCCUGGGAAACUGGGUCUAAUACCGGAUAUGACUCCUCAUCGCAUGGUGGGGGGUGGAAAGCUUUAUUGUGGUUUUGGAUGGACUCGCGGCCUAUCAGCUUGUUGGUGAGGUAAUGGCUCACCAAGGCGACGACGGGUAGCCGGCCUGAGAGGGUGACCGGCCACACUGGGACUGAGACACGGCCCAGACUCCUACGGGAGGCAGCAGUGGGGAAUAUUGCACAAUGGGCGAAAGCCUGAUGCAGCGACGCCGCGUGAGGGAUGACGGCCUUCGGGUUGUAAACCUCUUUCAGUAGGGAAGAAGCGAAAGUGACGGUACCUGCAGAAGAAGCGCCGGCUAACUACGUGCCAGCAGCCGCGGUAAUACGUAGGGCGCAAGCGUUAUCCGGAAUUAUUGGGCGUAAAGAGCUCGUAGGCGGUUUGUCGCGUCUGCCGUGAAAGUCCGGGGCUCAACUCCGGAUCUGCGGUGGGUACGGGCAGACUAGAGUGAUGUAGGGGAGACUGGAAUUCCUGGUGUAGCGGUGAAAUGCGCAGAUAUCAGGAGGAACACCGAUGGCGAAGGCAGGUCUCUGGGCAUUAACUGACGCUGAGGAGCGAAAGCAUGGGGAGCGAACAGGAUUAGAUACCCUGGUAGUCCAUGCCGUAAACGUUGGGCACUAGGUGUGGGGGACAUUCCACGUUUUCCGCGCCGUAGCUAACGCAUUAAGUGCCCCGCCUGGGGAGUACGGCCGCAAGGCUAAAACUCAAAGGAAUUGACGGGGGCCCGCACAAGCGGCGGAGCAUGCGGAUUAAUUCGAUGCAACGCGAAGAACCUUACCAAGGCUUGACAUGAACCGGAAAUACCUGGAAACAGGUGCCCCGCUUGCGGUCGGUUUACAGGUGGUGCAUGGUUGUCGUCAGCUCGUGUCGUGAGAUGUUGGGUUAAGUCCCGCAACGAGCGCAACCCUCGUUCUAUGUUGCCAGCGCGUUAUGGCGGGGACUCAUAGGAGACUGCCGGGGUCAACUCCGAAGGAAGGUGGGGACGACGUCAAAUCAUCAUGCCCCUUAUGKCUUG
rnacentral:rRNA from 1 species